rnacentral:rRNA from 1 species
UGGGGAAUCUUGCGCAAUGGGGGAAACCCUGACGCAGCGACGCCGCGUGCGGGAUGAAGGCCUUCGGGUUGUAAACCGCUUUCAGCAGGGACGAGGCCUUAUGGUGACGGUACCUGCAGAAGAAGCUCCGGCUAAAUACGUGCCAGCAGCCGCGGUAAUACGUAUGGAGCAAGCGUUAUCCGGAUUCAUUGGGCGUAAAGCGCUCGUAGGCGGUCUGUUAGGUCGGCAAGUUAAAUCCGGGGGCUCAACCCCCGUCCGCUUCCGAUACCGGCAGACUUGAGUUUGGUAGGGGAAGGUGGAAUUCCUAGUGUAGCGAUGGAAUGCGCAGAUAUUAGGAAGAACACCGGUGGCGAAAGCGGCUCUCUGGUCUGUAACUGACGCUGAGGCUCGAAAGCGUGGGGAGCGAACAGG